rnacentral:rRNA from 1 species
CCGGCGCACGGGUGAGUAACGCGUAUGCAACCUGCCCGUUUCAGCGGGAUAACCCGGAGAAAUCCGGCCUAAUACCGCAUGUGGCCGAGGGAGGCAUCUUCUUUCGGCCAAAGGAGGCGACUCCGGAGACGGAUGGGCAUGCGUGACAUUAGCUAGUUGGCGGGGCAACGGCCCACCAAGGCGACGAUGUCUAGGGGUUCUGAGAGGAAGGUCCCCCACACUGGUACUGAGACACGGACCAGACUCCUACGGAAGGCAGCAG